GUGCCAAGCAGCCGCGGUAAUUCCAGCUCCAAUAGCGUAUAUUAAAUUUGUUGCAGUUAAAAAGCUCGUAGUUGUAUACCUACGUAGCACUUCGAUAUAGUUAUAAACUAGACGAAAUGCUGGUAUUUGAGCACGGGAUCAUCUUACGCUUAAUUGUCGUAUUGAUGCUCAACGUGCAUUUUACUUUGAGGAAAUUAGAGUGUUCCAAGCAAACAUGGUUGUGAAUAUAAUAGCAUGGGAUAAUAUUUUUUGACCUGGAGUCGCUGCGUAAGCCUUGAUUCCACGGUAAUUUCGAAAGGGAUAUCUGGGGGCAUUCGUAUUAAGCUGUCAGAGGUGAAAUUCUUAGAUUUUCUUAAGACGAACAAAUGCGAAAGCAUCUGCCAAAGAUGUUUUCAUUGAUCAAGAACGAGAGUUAAGGGAUCGAAGACGAUUAGAUACCGUCCUAGUCUUAACAGUAAACUAUGCCACCUAAAGAUUGGGAGACGUUCUUUACGCUCUCAGUAUUUUAUGAGAAAUCAAAGUCGUUGGGUUCUGGGGGGAGUAUGGUCGCAAGACUGAAACUUAAAGGAAUUGACGGAAGGGCACCACCAGGAGUGGAGCCUGCGGCUUAAUUUGACUCAACACGGGGAAUCUUACUAGGUCCAGACAAAGGGAGGAUUGACAGUUUGAGAGCGCUUUCUUGAUUCUUUGGGUGGUGGUGCAUGGCCGUUCUUAGUUGGUGGAGUGAUUUGUCUGGUUAAUUCCGUUAACGAACGAGACCUUAGCCAUCUAAAUAGUAUUUUAAACAUCAUUUUAAUAUGCUUCUUAGAGGGACUGUGUGUUUGAGCACAAUGAAGUUUAAGGCAAUAACAGGUCUGUGAUGCCCAA
rnacentral:rRNA from 1 species